GAGUUGUUAGUCUAAACAAGACAGUUGAUUUCGGCUCAACAAAUUAUGGUUAAACCCCAUAAUAACUCU
rnacentral:tRNA from 12 species